rnacentral:rRNA from 1 species
GGCGGUGUUCUAAAUAAUUUGGAGGAACCUAUUAUUUAAAUGAUAAUCCACAUCAUAUCUUACCUAAAUUUUGUUUGUAUAUCGUUGUUCUUAGAUAAUAUCUUAAGAAUAUAAUCAAAUAUGAUAAAAUCCAAUAUAUCAAAUCAAGGUGCAGCAUAUUUUGGUCAUAAUGGGUUACAAUAUAAGUUAUAUACAAUGGAAAAAUAAUGAAAUAAAAAUAUAAAGUGSAUUCAAAAGUAAAAUUAAAUUAAAAYGUUUAUUCGAUUAAAAAUUYAGAACAUGCACACAU